GAUGAACGCUGGCGGCGUGCCUAAUACAUGCCAGUCGAGCGAACGGACGAGAAGCUUGCUUCUCUGAUGUUAGCGGCGGACGGGUGAGUAACACGUGGAUAACCUACCUAUAAGACUGGGAUAACUUCGGGAAACCGGAGCUAAUACCGGAUGAUAUUUUGAACCGCAUGGUUCAAAAGUGAAAGACGGUCUUGCUGUCACUUAUAGAUGGAACCGCGCUGCAUUAGCUAGUUGGUAAGGUAACGGCUUACCAAGGCAACGAUGCAUAGCCGACCUGAGAGGGUGAUCGGCCACACUGGAACUGAGACACGGUCCAGACUCCUACGGGAGGCAGCAGUAGGGAAUCUUCCGCAAUGGGCGAAAGCCUGACGGAGCAACGCCGCGUGAGUGAUGAAGGUCUUCGGAUCGUAAAACUCUGUUAUUAGGGAAGAACAUAUGUGUAAGUAACUGUGCACAUCUUGACGGUACCUAAUCAGAAAGCCACGGCUAACUACGUG
rnacentral:rRNA from 1 species